GACCCAGGCCUAGCCCCAGCCCCAGGCCCAGACGAAGUCCCAGCCCCAGCCCCAGCCCCAGCCAUCACCCCAGCCCUGCUUCUCCCUAAAGUCACUCCAGUCUGCAUCGAUUUGGUGCUAAAAGUUGUCCAUUGCUCAUCCAUAAGACUGGAAUGCCCACCCUGUGUGCCUCUAGCAUUGCUGACUUUCUGAGUUGACUACCUGAGUCAUCAUUUUCAACUAAAUGUACACAAUCCCAUUUGUCCACUGUCCCAUGUUAGAACAAUCAAUCCAUGCGCCUUUGUGUCAAUGUUAGAAAAUGUUAGUUGAGUUUCAUAUCAGAUAACUAUUGUUCAGAAUUUUAGUUACUCAUCAUCUUCUGUAUCCCCUGCCCUUAAGGAAGAGAAACCAUUCUUCUGUCAUUGCUGCAGUAGUCACAGUCCCAGUUUUCUGGGCAGUGUUCAUAUAUUGUGCUGGUCACCUGAACUCUACCCUGAGUGAAAUUUUAAUUGUCCAUUAUCUUGCCCACUGGGAUUAGAUCCCAGUCCAAAACCCUUUUGCUGAAUUCAGGACUGGGUGCAGAAAACACAAAUAUUUUGUUCAAUAGUUAACAUGCUCAGUCCCAAUUGUAUUAGCCUUGUCCGUUAAACAAAGGCACCCUACCAUUUUUGCCCUGCUUCUGGGAUGGCCUGCUGUUCUUUGACAAUUAAGGUACCAAAUUGUAAUUAUACAUUGUCUUGCCCCAGAAUCGAUGACCCUUCAUCCCCUUUGCUUUGCCACUAGGCAGUGCUGACUACCUGGGACCAUGUUCCUUGAAUGAUUAAUGAGUAUAAUCCCAAUUUUCCACCCCCCUGUUCAUUACACAAGUCCUUGCAACUUCUUUGCACUAUAGCAAAGGGGCUCAUCUUCAAAGUCCUUUACUUUUGGAUAUUAAUUAAAUACAAUCAUUAAUGUUCAAGAUCCUACCUAAAAGGUAAGACCCACCCAUGCUCUUGUCUUUACUUCUAAGUAGUGCAGACUACUUACUACCUUGCAUUAAUAUGUAAAAUCCUCAUUGCGCACUGUCCCAACAGUUAGUCUAGGAUAUAACCUUAUCUUUAUGCCAUUGCUUAUGAGGAGUUCUGAUUACCCAAGGUCACUUAAACAGUUGAUGUGCAUAAUUGCAUAUGUCCAUGGUGCUGUGCAAUAAAAAAUGGAAUCCCACCCUAUCCUACCCUUUUUGGGAUAUUGCUAGGGAGCGCAGAUUAUUCAAGAACUCAUGCACAGUUGAAAUUGUACAGAAUCCUGUCCAUUUGAAAGGGCCACUAUAUCCCACUUGCAUACUAUAAUGUGGGCUGAUCACUCAAGGACACUUCCCCAAUGUCUCCUAUUGUUAACCUAAAAUCCCAUUCCCCCUUAACUCCCUUUGCAUUAUUGCAGAGGGUCCUUCUGGCCCUUUAAGGUGCUUAAGGCAGUUAUGGCCCCUUCUGUUAGUCUGGGAUUCAAUCACCUCCUACUUUUUCUGCAUUACUGCAGAGAAUACUUGGAAAUGUUAAUGUCCUUAACUGUAGCUAUAAUCCCUUUUGUUAGUCUAGGAUCCUAUACCCCCUGUAGUCAUUUUGCAUUAGUACAUAAUGUACAUGGGAUUGUUAAUGUGUUUACAUGCAGCUCUGUCUGUUCUGUUAAUGUAGGAUUCCAUCUUCUUUAACUCCCUAUGCAUUACAGCAGAGGGUGGUUCAGAUCUUUAAGGUCCUCAAAGGCAGCUGUGGUGUCUUCUGUUAGUCUAGUGAUCCCAUUCCUUCCUACUUCCUUUGCAUUUCUGCAGAGGAUACUUGGGACUGCAAUGUGCUUAAUGCUUCCAGAGUCCUCUCAGUUUUUUUAGGAUCCCAAUCCCCUCCCUCUUACUGAGUUUGCAUUUCACAGAAUACAAGGGACUGUUAAUGUGCUUAAAUGGCAGCUAUGGUCUCCAUUAACCUAGGAUCCCAUCCCCAUGUAAAUUCCCUUGCAUUAUUACAGAGGGCAUUUAGGACUGUUAAUGUAUGUAAUUGUAGCUACAGUCCCUUCUGUUAGAUCCUAUCCUCACCUACUCUUUGCAUUAUCAUGAAGGAUACAAUGGGACUAUUAAUGAGCUUAAUUUCAGCUCUAGUUCCUUUUGUUAAUCUAGUUUCCCACAUACUCCUACUUUUGCAUUAUAGCAAAGGGUACUUGAGACCUUUAAGGUGCUUAAAUGCAGCUAUGACCCCUUCUGUUUUUACUUUGCAUUACUGCAGAGGAUACUUGGGACUUUUAAUGUGCCUAAUUACCACUAUAGUCCCUUUCCUUUGUUUGGGAUCCCACCUGCUCCCACAGAGUUUGUAUUAUCAUAGAAGGUACAAGGGACCAUUAAUGUGCUCAGAGGCAGCUAUGGUUUCUUCUGUUAACAUGGGAUCCUAUCACCACUUAACUUCCUUUUGCAUUAUUGCAAAGGGUACUUGGGACUGUUAAUGUGCUCUAAAGGCAGCUGUGUGGUUCCUUAUGUUACUGUAGGAUUCCAUUAUCUCCAACUCCCUAUGCAUUACAGCACAGGGUACUUGGACCCUUUAAGGUGCUUCUGUUAGUUUAUGUUCCCAUCCCGUCCAAUUUCCUUUGCAUUACUGCAGUGGCUACUUGGGACUGUUAAUGUGCUUAAUUGCAGCUACAAUCCCUUCGGUUGGUCUAGGAUCCCAUCCCCUAUCUAGUCGCUUUACAUUAGCACACAAUAAUGUACAUGGGACUGUUACUGUGCUUAAGUGCAGAUCUGUCCCCUGUGUUAAUGUAGCAUUCCAUCUAACUCCCUGUGCAUUAGAACAGAGGGUCCUUGGCACCUUUAAGGUGCUUAGACAUGCUGUGGUGCCUUCUGUUAGUCUAGGAUCCCAUCCCCCUUCUACUCCCUUUACAUUAUAUGGCAGGGUAUUUGGGACUGUGCUUAAUUGCAGUUACAAUCCCUUCUGUUAGUCAGUCUAGUUAUCCUAUGCCUUCUCACUUCCUUUGCAUUAGAGCAAAUGGGCUAUUUGGGACUGUUAAUGAGUUUAAUGCUACUAUGGUCCCUUCUGUUAAUCUAGUUUCCCAUGCACUCCUCCUUCCUUUGCAUUACAGCAGAGGGUACUUCAGACCUUUAAGAUGUUUAAUUGCAGCCAUGGUCCCUUCUGUUAGUCUAGGAUCUCACAUAUUUCAACUCCCUUUGUAUUACCUGGUGUUAUCUUUGGGACUGUUAGAGUGCUUAGUUGCAGCUCUGGUCCCUUUUCUUAGUCUAGCGUCCCAUCCUUCCCUACUCACUGCAUUUCUUGGGAGUGGAUUUGGGAUAGUAAUGUGCUCAUUUGCAACUGUGGUCCCUUUUGUUAAUCUGGGGUCCCAUGUCCUCCCACUAUUCCUUUGCAUACAGCAGAGGCUAUUUGGGACUCUUAAUAUGUUUAAUUUUAGCUGUGGUCCCUACCAAUACUCUAGGAUCCCAUACCCUUCUAUUCACUUUGCAUUAGGACACAGUGUAUAUGGGACUGUUACUGUGCUUAUAGGUAGUUCGGUCCCUUAUGCUAAUGUAAGAUUCCAUUCUCUCCAACUCUAUAUGCAUUAGAACAGAGGCUACUUGGCACCUUAAGGUGCUUAAAUAUAGCUGUGGUCCCUUCAGUUAGUCUAGGAUCCCAUCUUUCUUCUACUCCCUUUACAUGGGAGGGCAUUUGGGACUAUUAUUGUGCAUAAUUGCACUUACAGUCCCUUCUGUUAGUCUAAGAUCGUAUGUCUUUCCAUUUCCUUUGCAUUAGAGCAGAUGGUAUUUGGGACUGUUAAUGAGCUUAACUGCAGUGAUAGUCCCUUCUGUUAAUCUAGUUUCCCAUGCACUCCUCCUUCCUUUAUGUUAUAGUAGAGUGUACUUGAGACCUUUAAGGUGCUUAGGAGCAGGUAUGGCCCCUUCUAUUAGUGUAGGUUCCCAUCUCCUCCUACUUCCUUUGCAUUACUGCAGAGGCUGCCUGGGACUGUUAAUAUGCCUAAUUGUCACUAUUGUCCCUUCUGUUUGUCUAGAUUUUCACACUUUCCUGCAUGGAUUGCAUUAGCACAGAGGAUAUAAGGGACUAUUAAGGUACUUAAAUGCAGCUACUGUCUUUUCUGUUAACUCACGUUCUCAUCCCCACCUAAUUCCCUUUGCAUUAUUGCAGAAGGUACUUGAGACGUUAAUGAACUAUUGUAGCAAUGGUCCCUUGUAGGCUGGGAACCCACCCUCACAAACUCCCUUAACAUUACUACAGAGAGUACACCGGGACUGUUAAUGUGCUUAAAUGCAUCCACAGACCCUUACAUUAAUGUAGGAUUCCAUCCUUGCCAAACCCUCUGUGCACUGCAGAAGAGGGUAGUUUCAACCUUCAAGGUGCUUAAAUGCAGCUAUGGCCCCUUCUGUUAGUUUGUGUUCCUGUGCUCUCCUACUUUGCAUUACUGCAGAGGAUAGUUGGGAUGUUAGUAUGCCUAAUUGCUGCUACAAUCCCUUCUGUUAAUCUAGGAUCCCAUUCCAUUCCACACUGUUUGCGUUACCACUAAGUGUACAAAGGAUUGGUAAUGUGCUCAAAUGCAGCUAAGAUCUCUUCUGUUAAUCUAGGACGCCAUCUCCACUUAACUCUGUUGGCAUUAUUGCAGAGGCUACUUGGGACUGUUCAUGUGCUCUAAUGUAGCUAUGGUCUCUGCUAUACAAGGAUCCCAACCCUACAUGCUCUCUUUGCAUUAUCAUGAAGGGUACAUGGGACUGUUAAUAUAAAUGAAGCCAUGGUCCCUUAAGUUAGUGUAGGAUUCCAUCCUCUCCAACUCCCUGUGCAUUACAGCAAAAGGUAGUUGAGACCUUUAAGGUGCUUAAAUGUAGCUGGGGUACUUUCUGUUAGCCUAGGAUCCCAUCACCACCUAACUCCCUUUCAAGUACUGCAGAAGGUACUCGAAACCUUUAAGAUGCUUAAAUGCAGCUACGACCCCUCUGUGAGUUUGUGUUCCCAGCCCCUCCUACUUACACUUUACUUUAUUGCAGAGGAUACUUGGUACUGUUAAUGUGCCUAAUUGCCACUACAGUCCCAUCUGUUUGUCUAUAAUCCUAUCCCCUCCUAAAUGUUUGCAUUUCUACAGAAGGCACAAGGGACAAUUAAGUGCUUAAAUCCAGCUAAGGUGUCUUCUGUUAAUCUAGGAUCCUAUCCUCUUACUUGGUUUCCAUUACCAUAGAAGGUGCAAGGUACUGUUAAUGUGGGUAAGUGCUGCUAUAGUCCCUUCUGUUUGUCUAGGAUCCUGUUGCCUCCUACAGGGUUUGCAAUACCACAAAAAGUACAAGGGGACUGUUAUAUGCUUAAAGGCAGCUAAGGUCUCUUUAACCUAUGAUUCCAUCCCCACCCAAUGUAUCUGCAUAAUUGCAGAGAGUACUUGGGACUGUUAAUGUGCUUAAAUGCAUCUGGGAUCCCUUAUGUUAAUGUAGGAUUCUAUUCUCUCCAACUCCCUCUGCUUCAUAGCAGAUGGGACCUUCAAGGUGCCAUAGCUAUAGUGCUUUCUAUUAGUCUGGGAUCUCAUCCCCACCUAACUCCCUUUGCAUUACAGCAGAGAGUAAUUGAGAUCUUUAAGAUGCAGCCAUGCCCCCUUCUGUUAGUUUAUGUUCUCAUCCCCUCCUACUUUGUAUUACUGCAGAGUAUACUUGGGACUGUAAAUGUGCCUAAUGACUGCUGUAGUCCCUUCUGUUUGUCUAGGAUCCCCUCCCCUCCUAGAGUUUGCAUUACCACAGAGGGUAUAAAGGGCUGUUAAUAUGCUUAAUUGUAUAGUCCCUUCUGUUAGACUAGGAUUCCAUCUCCACCUACUCUGUUGCAUUAUCAUGGAGGGUACAUGGGACUGUUAGUGUGCUUAAGUGCAGCUACAGCCCAUAUGUUAGCAUAGGGAUUUCAUCCUCUCCAACUUCCUAUGUAUUAUAGUAUAGGGCAUUUGGGAUCUUAAAGGUGAGAAAAUGCAGCUAUGGCCCCUCUAUUAGCUUAUGUUCCCAUUCCCUCCUACUUCCUUUGCAUUACUGCAGAGGAUACUUGGGACUUUUAAUGUAGGUAAUUGGUACUACAGUUGCUUUUGUUAAUCUAAGAUCUCACUCCCUCCUACUUGCUUUGCAUUACCACAGAGGGUAAAAGGGACUGUAAAUGUGCUUCAAUGCAGCUCCUGUCCCUUACCUUAGUGUAGGAUUCCAUCCUCGCCAAUUCCCUAUAGAAGAGGGUAGUUGGGAUCUUUAAGGUCCUUAAAGGCAGCAUAGCUGCCUUCUGUUAGUCUAGGAUCCCAUUCCUUCCUACUGACUUUGCAUUACUGCAGUGGCUACUUGGGACUGUUAAUGUGCUUAAUUGCAGCUACAAUCCCUUCGGUUGGUCUAGGAUCCCAUCCCCUAUCUAGUCGCUUUACAUUAGCACACAAUAAUGUACAUGGGACUGUUACUGUGCUUAAGUGCAGAUCUGUCCCCUGUGUUAAUGUAGCAUUCCAUCUAACUCCCUGUGCAUUAGAACAGAGGGUCCUUGGCACCUUUAAGGUGCUUAGACAUGCUGUGGUGCCUUCUGUUAGUCUAGGAUCCCAUCCCCCUUCUACUCCCUUUACAUUAUAUGGCAGGGUAUUUGGGACUGUGCUUAAUUGCAGUUACAAUCCCUUCUGUUAGUCAGUCCAGUUAUCCUAUGCCUUCUCACUUCCUUUGCAUUAGAGCAAAUGGGCUAUUUGGGACUGUUAAUGAGUUUAAUGCUACUAUGGUCCCUUCUGUUAAUCUAGUUUCCCAUGCACUCCUCCUUCCUUUGCAUUACAGCAGAGGGUACUUCAGACCUUUAAGAUGUUUAAUUGCAGCCAUGGUCCCUUCUGUUAGUCUAGGAUCUCACAUAUUUCAACUCCCUUUGUAUUACCUGGUGUUAUCUUUGGGACUGUUAGAGUGCUUAGUUGCAGCUCUGGUCCCUUUUCUUAGUCUAGCGUCCCAUCCUUCCCUACUCACUGCAUUUCUUGGGAGUGGAUUUGGGAUAGUAAUGUGCUCAUUUGCAACUGUGGUCCCUUUUGUUAAUCUGGGGUCCCAUGUCCUCCCACUCUUCCUUUGCAUACAGCAGAGGCUAUUUGGGACUCUUAAUAUAGUAGUUUAGGAUCCUUUGUAUUACCUUUGUAUUAUCAGGUGAUAUUUGGGACUAAAAAGUGCUUAAUUGCAUUUCUGGUCUCUUCUGGUAUAGGAUUCCAAUGUUCUGCAACUCCCUAUGCAUUAUAGCAGAGGGCAUUGGGACUGUUAGGGGGCUUAAAUAUAGCUGUAGUCCCUUCUGUUAGUCUAGUAUCCCAAGCGCUCCGACUGCCUUUGCUUUACCUGGGAGUGUAUUUGGGACUCUUAAGUUGCUGAAUUGCAGCUGUUGUCUCUUUUAUUAGUAGUUUCCUAUGCCUUUUUAUUCUCUUUACAUUACAACAGAGGGUCCUUGGGAUUGUUAAAGUGCUUAAUUGCUGCUGUGGUCCCUUUUGUAAUUCUGGGAUCCCAUCCCUGGCUACUCUGUUUACAUUACCUGGGAGGAUUUUGGGGACUGUUAAAAGAAACCAUAUAACUAAAUUAGUAUGGUUUCCCAUGCCCUCCUAUUCUCUUUGCAUUACAACUAAUGGUACUUGGGACUGUUGAAGUGCUUAAAUACAGAUGCAGUCCCCUCUGUUAGUCUAGGAUCUCCUGCCUUUCUCCCUUUACAUUAUCGAAAGCAGAUUGGGGAAUGUUAAUGUGCUUACUAAUUACAGUUGUAAUCCAUUCUAUUAAUCUAGUUUUCAGUCCCUUCCAGCCUCCUUCGCAUUACCUAGGAGCAGAUUUGGGACUAUUAAUGUGCUCCUUUGCAGCUGUGGCCCCUUCUGUUAGCCUAGCAUCCCAUGCCGUCUAACUCCCUUUCCAUUGCAGCAGAGGAUAUUUGGGACUUUUAAUGGCUUAAUUGCAGCCCUGGUCCCUUCUGUUAGUCUAGGAUCCCAGGUCCUCCAACUCACUUUGCAUUACCUCAGAAUGUAUUUGGGACUAUUUAAUUGCUCAAUUGGAGCUGUUGUCCCUUUUUGUGUGUCUAGUUUCCCAUGCCCUCCUGCUCUUUUGCAUUGUAGCAGUGGGUACUUGGGACUGUUAGUGUACUUAAUUGCUGGCGUAGUCACUUUUGCUGAUUUAGGAUCCCAUCCCCCUUCUCCCUUUAUCAGGGAGGAUUUGGGGUUGUUAAAGUACUUAUUUGCACCUGCAGAUAGUCUAGGCUUUGCUAUAGGAUCUGCUAUAAUGCAGAUAGUACUUGGGCCUGUUAAUGUGCAUUAAAUACAGGCGUGGUCCAUUUGCUGGUGAUGACCACCUCCUCCCUUUAUAUUACCUGGGAGCAGAUUUAGUACUGAAAGGUGAUUAAUUGCAGCUUGUGUUCCCUUCUGAUUAGGGUCCCGCAUCUCCAUCUCUUUGCAUUAGAGCAGAGAGUACUUGGGCCUGUUAAAUGCUCUAUUGCAGCUGUGGUACCUUCUGUUUUGUAGGAUCCCAUGCCCACCAUCUCCCUUUACAUCAUCUGGGAGUGUAUUUGGAACUGAUAAAUUGCUUAAUUGUAGCUGUCGUUCCUUCUGUUAAUAUACUUUUCCAUGCCUUCCUACUGUGUUUCUACUAUAGCAGAGGAUACUUGAACUGUUAAAGUGCAGCUGUGUCCCUUUGUAGUUUAGGAUCCCAUGACUUCCCACUCCCUUCACAUUACCUGGAAAGGCAUUUGGGACUGUUAAGGUGCUAAUUGCAGCUGUGGUUCCUUCUGUUAGUCUAGGAUCCCAUUCUCACUCCCUUUUCAUUACUUGGGAAGGUUUUUGGGGACCCUUAAAGAGCCUGUUGCAGGUGUGGUCCUUUCUGCUAGACUGGGAUCCAUGCCCUUCAACUUCGUUUGGGUUACUGCUAAGGGUACUUGGGACUGUGAAUGUGCUCAAAUGCAGGUUUGGUCCCUUUUAGUCUCAGAUCUCAUGCCCUCCAACUCCUUUUACAUUAUCCAAGAGGGUACUUGGGACAGUUUUUGUGCUCAUUUACAACAGUGGUCCCUUUUUUAGUCUAUGAUCUCAUCCCUUGCUACCCCCACUCCCAACUCCCUUUGCAUUACCACAGAAGGUACUUGAGACUGUUCAGUGUAUCCCAUUUUCUCACACCCUGUUAACAUUAUAGUAGGGGGUGCUGAAUACCAAGGCCUCCCUUUUUUGUAUUGUUAAUGUGCAUGAUUGCAUUUGUUCAUCUUUCUCUGCAGUAGAUAAGAUUUCACUAACUUCCCUUGUAUUCAGCAGUGGAUGCCCUUUAUUCAAGACCUUUAUACUAGGAUAAAGUGAACCAUGGUAAUUGAUCACACUGUCAUUUAUUUUCGUCCCCUGUACUCUCUGUAUUAAUUACUCAAGUUACUUUUUUGGGGGGUUAUUUGUAUACAAAUGUAUUCCAAUGUUUAUGGUCCUUCUCUUUAAUUUCCCACCCUUUUUAUAUUACAUAAGGGGAUGUUAGUAUUUCAAAGUACUUCUCUUGGGACUCUAAAUGUGAAUAUGGCCUCUUGAUAAGCUAAUAUCCUUAUUUCUUAGUAUUCUAUCAGGGGGUACUGAUCAUCUAAGGUCUUUCUUUUGGACAGUUAAUGUGCCAAAUUGCACAUCCCCAAGUUGGAGAUCCCAUCCCCAUCACACCUUCUCUGAGUCAGGGGUGCUGACCAACUAUAACUGCUUCUUCUGUAUAGUUUAAAUGUGCAUAAUUACAGUAACCAGUGGUGCCUUAUGUUAGAUUGGGAUCUCAUUUCCUUCCCCAUUUACAUACUUCAGGCGCUUCUGACUAGCCAAGAGUAACUCUCUUGGACUGUUAAUGUGCAUACUUAAAUUCACUCUUAUACCUGUACACUAGAUAAGGAUUCUCCACAUACUAUUUAUAUCCCAGCAGGAGGUGCCUACUACUCAAGAUUUUACACACUAAUGCAGUUAAUGUGCACUGCCUUCGUUGUCUUGUGCAUACUCAGUUGUUCACGACUGUACCUUUUAGUUCCUGGGGCUCCUGCAAUUACUGAAGCAGGAGUGACUGACCCCCCCCAAAACCUUUCUUUUGGGACUAUGGAUGUGUGUAGUCUCAGUUGUCCACUGUCCUUUGAGUUAACUUGGGUCUCUGAGUCUUCUCACAACCUCUAAGCAUUACCGCAUGGGGUACUGUCCAUUUAAGGCCUCUUUCUUAAACUGUUAAUGUGAAUAAUGACAAUUACAUUAGGAUUCUUCCAUUUUACACUCCCUUUGAAGUAUUGCAGGGAAUUCUUACCAAUAAGGUCCCAUUUCGUGGCCUGCUGUGAUGCAUGAUUAUAUUUAUCUGGGUUCCUGUGUACUAGGGAAGAAAACCUCUCCACACUCUCUGUAUCUUCAAGCAGGGAGUGCCCCCUCUAACUUGGACUGUUAAACUUGAGCAGUCAAAGGACACAAUUGUAACUGACCACAGUCAUGCACCAUGGACAUUAAUGUGCAUAAUUGCACAUGGCUCAUCCCAUUUGAAUAAGAUACUACCUUCUCAGACCCCUUUUAUAGUACAGCAGGGGUACUGAUCACUAAGGCCUUUUUUCAUGCCUUGUGAUUAUGCAUGAUUGCAUGUAUACAUUUUCCUAUACACCAAAUAAAGAUACCCUGCUCUCUACUUCCUUUAUCUUUUAGCAAGGAGUGACCAUUACUUUAAGAUCCUUGUAUCUGUGUAAGAUACAUGGUUUUAAUUGCCCAUGCCCUAUCCCUUGGACAUUAAUAUACAUAAUUGCAACUUACGUCAUCCUACCCUGUUGUAUGUUAUUUGCAGUAUGCCAGGGUUGCUAAUCCCUAAAUUGUCCUGUUAAUAUGCAUAAUUGCAUUAGUCUGGGUUCUUGUGCAUUAGAUGAGGACAUCCUCUACCCUUACUUCUAUGCCUUCCAGUGGAUGGUGCUCACUGCUAGCACAUUUACAUUUGGAUGGUUAAUGUGCAGAAUUGUAGUUUCCACAACGCUAUCUUUUCCAAAACUAUCAUAGCUGCUUUGCAGCACUGCAGGGGAUACUGUUUUCUCACAAAGUUCCUUCUAGUAAAUUGUUAAUAUUCAUAAUUGAAAUAGUUAUAUACCCUCAGCUUCUGUUUGCAGUACAACAGUGUACUGACCAAUCAAGGCCCUCUGUUGGACUGGCAAUAUGUGCAAUUGCAUUUUUUCCCAUUUUGUACACUCAGUAGGACCAUGCCUACUUCCUUACCAGGUUCAGCAGGUAAGGUCCACUAUUUAAGAAGACUCUUUCACUUGGAAAGUUCAUGUGUACAAAUGCUUUGCUAAGUAUGUGUUCUAUUAGAAUUCUUUGCUUUGGAGUAAGGAGAUGUUAUUUACCUAAUGCCCAUUCUUUUAGACUCUAAUGUGUAUAAUUGCAAUUGUCCACCUUUUUUGUUGGACUAUGAUUGCAUUCCUUCAAACCCCCUUUGUAUCAGAGGCGUGUUAACCAUAAAUGAGCUCUUCUCUUGAGAUUAUUAUUAUACAGACUUGUAUUUGUCUGUGGAUUUGUGCAGUGUGAAAGGAUGCCCUAUGUGCCUACCACUGCCUUUGGAUUGCUGCUGAGGAGUGCUAUCAUGAUCUCAGCUCUUGUACAAUUAAUAUGCACCGCUAGCAAUGAUGGGACCUCUGUACCCACUUUGUAUACAUCAGGGGUACUAAGGACCCCUUCGUGGACUGUCAAUGUGCAAUUAUCUAUGCCCCCUUCUGUUAGAUUUAGGUAACAUUCCCUUAAAAAUCCCUGUGCAUUAAUGCAGGGGUUGGUGACCACACAAAACUCCUGGGACUGUUAAUGGGCACAAUGGCAAUUAGCAAUGGGUUUUUACUCCCUGGCCUUGUUAGGCAAACACUCCCAGCUCCAAUUUCCCAUGGCAUAAUAAAGUAUAAACAUUGCAGUAUGCUGUGAACUUGUCCGUCAAAUAGCACCCCAUACUCCCUCUCCUUUUGUGUUGUUUCCAUGUAUAAAAUUCAAAGUAGUCAUGAUCUUCCCGUUACCUUCCCUCUUCUCACCCGUUGCUUACCCUUGGACCCUUCCUAUGCACCAUUCUCACAAUUUCAGUUGUUCAUGUAUUGGGCCACUAAAUAAGAUUGUGUUCCUUCUUCCCUCCCAACCCCACCCUGCCCCUUUUGCAUUAUUGCUGGGGAAUGUUGACUGGGCAAGGCUCUUUCUCUUGGACUUAAAACAUUAAUAAUCCCGGAUGUCAUUGCAUUACCCACUUUGUAUUGCUGUAAUGCCUCAAUUGCACUUUCCUUGGUCCCACCCAUCAGACAUGGACUCCCCCACUUUGCAUUGCUUCUGAGUAGUGCUGAGUACCCAAAGUCCUUUCUGUGUUAUUAACACAGUAGUGAUUGUCCCAUUUUUCAGCCCAAGAUUUUCCUACCAUUUUGAUGUGUUUGUGCAGUGUUGACUAUCCAACGCAGGCCUGAAUUAAGUGGAUGGACCUUCACUCCUUUAGUGCAUUUGUUAAUGAUCCCAAUUCCAGUUGUCACAUUCUGGGACAGGAACUGUCCCUGCCCAUAUCUGUUACUGCUUUCUUGGGCAAAAUGCUCAAGGCAAAUCAGACCUAGAAAGCUGGAUUGCCACUCUUUAUUUUGGAUUUUCAGUAUAAGUAUCAGGUGAAAAUUGUCUCCCCAGAAAGAGGUUAGCAUUGUCUGUAUUCUUCCUUCCAGAGCAGAUUGCCUGGCCAAGAAUCUUGCUUCUCCUCUUAUAUAUUGCUAUUGUACUAUACCAGUUGCCAGGUAUAAUUAAAAAAUGCUGUUUGUAAGGUAGAAUUGUAAACCUGAUCAUUGAAUUUUUGAGGUUCAAAAACCCAUUUAUAUCAUGUACCUGAUGACCAGUGCCUCUCAUUUUACUAAGGGUGGUGGGUCUGUGGAAAGACCACUGUGACUCUUUGCUAUUUUAGUAUUCCCAAAAGUGUUCUAAGAGUGGAACUCUUAAGACCAAUCUUUGGGCUCUACCGCCAUUUAAAAACCCCAUUCCUUAUUUGGGCUUUACCACUGUUCACUUUUAGAAAAACUACCUAGACAUUCUAAUCCUUAAAUUUCUUCAUCUGAAGCAUCCACCAUCCCUUCCUUAUUUUAAGAAGAUUACUGUAAAAGAAUGAAAUGAAAGAACAUAUUCUGAGGCACUUUCGAAAACUGUAGAAUUACAGUUGAUUAAUCUAUUAUAUAAAUAAAAUGCACAGUUUAAUUCUGCUAACUUAAAGUAGCCGGAAGCACUGCACUGGAGUGAUGGCUUAGAAAUGAUGGGACCAAUUUCCCUGUUUUAUAUUGAUAAAUAAGCCACGAUCUAAUCAUUCUUCUGGACAUGAAUCAACAGUGAGAUGGCUGCUUGGUAAAAUGAAUAAUAUCCUAAUCUCUAGUGUGCAGGGUGUGGCAGAGAAGUAUUUGAUAUGGAACUGCUGAAGCAAAUAACUAGUCGUCACAACAGCAGUUCUUUGUAAUCACUGAAAAAGGAUUUUUUGACAAGGAUGUCAAAAGAUCGGCGCAGCUCAGGGUGCAGUAUGCACUACUGGCUCCUUGGACAGCUGUAAGAAGAGUCUCUGGCUCUUUAGAAUACUGGAUGAAUUCUGAGCUGGUUCUGUCCUCCCACUGAAGAGGAAGGAUGGAUCAAUUUUAAGUGGAUUGAAGCCUGCACUAGACAGCAUCCAAAGGCAACAAGGUAGUACCACUUGCCACUGGAAUUCUCCAUUUAAAGGACAUUCCGAGCAUGUGAAACCUGAGGACCGCAAGUAGCUCUAAUCAGCUUCACAUUCGGCAGAUCUUUCUUUUUGAGAAUCUGGAUAAGCUCCAAAUAAUCUAAGAUGAUGGCUUGCAGGCCACCUGGGAAAAAAAUAAGAUCUUCCUCUGAAGAAUAGGCUUGUUGCUCUACAGUGUUAGUGACCCAUUCCCUUUGACGAUCCCUAGGUGGAGAUGGGGCAUGAGGAUCCUCCAGGGGAAAAGCUCACUAUCACUGGGCAACAACCCUAGGCUAGGAGGGUCUACCAAGAUUCUUUCUAGGACCUACAUAGGAAGAUGAAGUUUUAAAACAACCGCCACACAUCAAGAGCUCCUGACUGUUCCCUUCUUAUCUGCCAAAUCAUUGUCUCCCUAAAGCAAAGCAGAUGGCAAGAAAUUUGAACACAUCAAAGGAAGAUCAACAUGCCUGGCAUGCUAACAUUAUAAAUAGCAGAAUGAAUGUGUAUUUCUUGGUCUAUUUCUUUCUUGAAUCUAUUUGGUCUUUCUUCUCUAUCUAAAGUGUGUCUCAGCCAUUCCAUGAUUCUCUGCAGUUUCUUCUUGUGUAUCUUUGUCUAGUUUUCUUGUUUGUUCCUAAGAGAUGUCUGUGCCUUGUCUUGGAUGACUCUAUAGUUUUUUCAUUCUGUUUCUGAUUCUCUUUUCUCUCCUAGAUCUGGUUCUUUUUUCACUUUUCUUCCCUUUGUGUCUCUG